UAAUCAUCAAGUUUGAUGAAAUGUCCUAAUAUGUAGAUGCAGAUGCUAAGUCAUUCAGUCACCUAGCUUGUGAGAAUGGAAUGCUCACAAAAAGGACAAGAGCGAGAGAGCUGUAUGGAAAUUUACACAAAGGGUCAGUUAACGGAGUAAGCUGAUAUGGAGGAUAAUAUAUCAAAGGCAGCAUAGGCGUCCAAACUCCUGUUCAAGAAAUUGAGCAAGAAAAGUUUGAAGUGUCUUUGGGAAUGAUCAACAUCAAACUUGCUGAGCUUUUGAAGCCGUCGUACCAAAAGUGAAUCCAUUCGUGACACCAAUUAUCUGACCACCCUCUAACAGAACCAGUGAGGAAGUGAUUCUAGCCAAUACUUCAGAAGUUUAGGAUCCUCAAUAAUUAGGAUCUUGGGGCAUGUUGGGGAAAAAAAAUAGCAUGUGUUGAUUUUAUGGGAUCUUUCAAAUAUAGUUGUGUAGUAGAUAUUUGUGUACUUAAUACAUAUGUUUGUCACUCUAGUCAUUAACUUUGUAUGGUAAAUGUAUAUGGACCACUGGAAGAUCAUUGUAACUGUAUACAAAUGUUGCAAAUAUACCCUGUUAAGGCUUUAGUGACCUUUCCCAAGGUCAUUCAAUGAAGCAAAAGGUCAUAAUUAAUGUUUUUUUAAAAAUCUAUUUUGUUUUAUUAUUAAAAAAUGUCAUAUGUUUGAGAUUACUCUAGGUACAAAGGAUUUUCUUUAACCAAAAGUCAUUUGUUUCUCAUGCAGACCGUAAUUUACUACAUGUACAUGCAUGUAUAUUAUAAUAAUUCUCAUUAAUUAAACCAAGGUGAUCAUCCAGUAAUGAUAUUUUUC